rnacentral:rRNA from 1 species
AAGCUCGUAGUUGAAUUUCGGGAUUGACGUGAUGGUCAUGCCUUAAGGGGUAUGAACUGUUACUGUUGAUUUCUCACCUUCUGGAGAAACUUGAUGUCCUUUAUUGGGUGUCUUGCGGAUCCAGGACCUUUACCUUGAAAAAAUUAGAGUGUUUAAAGCAGGCAUUUUUGCUCGAAUACAUUAGCAUGGAAUAAUAGAAUAGGACGGCAUGGUUCUAUUUUGUGGUUUCUAGGAUCACCGUAAUGAUUAAUAGGGAUAGUGGG